UACGUAGGGACCAAGCGUUGUUCGGAUUUUACUGGGCGUAAAGGGCGCGUAGGCGGCGAAUCAAGUCAGCUGUGAAAAUCUCCGAGCUUUAACUCGGAACGGUCAGCUGAUACUGUUUUUUUUGCUAGAGUGCAGAAAGGGCAACCGGGAAUUUCUUUGGUGUAGCGGUGAAAUGCGUAGAUAUCAAGAGGAACACCUGAGGCGAAAGGCGGGGUUUUGCUAGGCUGACACUGACGUGAAGCGCGAAAAGCUAGGGGUAGCAAAACGGGG
rnacentral:rRNA from 1 species